rnacentral:rRNA from 1 species
GACGAACGCUGGCGGCGUGCUUAACACAUGCAAGUCGAACGGAAAGGCCCUGCUUUUGUGGGGUGCUCGAGUGGCGAACGGGUGAGUAACACGUGAGUAACCUGCCCUUGACUUUGGGAUAACUUCAGGAAACUGGGGCUAAUACCGGGUAGGAGCUCCUGCUGCAUGGUGGGGGUUGGAAAGUUUCGGCGGUUGGGGAUGGACUCGCGGCUUAUCAGCUUGUUGGUGGGGUAGUGGCUUACCAAGGCUUUGACGGGUAGCCGGCCUGAGAGGGUGACCGGCCACAUUGGGACUGAGAUACGGCCCAGUCUCCUACGGGAGGCAGCAGUGGGGAAUAUUGCACAAUGGGCGGAAGCCUGAUGCAGCAACGCCGCGUGCGGGAUGACGGCCUUCGGGUUGUAAACCGCUUUCGCCUGUGACGAAGCGUGAGUGACGGUAAUGGGUAAAGAAGCACCGGCUAACUACGUG